rnacentral:lncRNA from 1 species
UGAUUUUCCACGGAGGGACAUUGGGCAAUGCUAGGGGACAGUUUUGAUUGACAUGUCUUGCGAGGUGCUUCUAGCAUCCAGUGUGUAAAAACCAAGGAUGUUGCUAAGCAUCCCACAAUGCACAGGAUAGCCCUUGCAACAAGGAAUUCUCCAACCCAGAUGUCAAUAGUGCUGAGGUUGAGAAACCUUGAGUUAAGAGUUGGCUCAAAUUUUCCAAGGCAUUCUUCAUGUAAAGAAGGACUUCUGAGUCAAGAGAUAGAAAGAAAUGAACAGUGAUACUUGGCACCACCUGAAAUCUGUAUAGGGUUUAUUUGUUAUCCAUUUCUACAGAUGUUAAUGAUGAGACUUAGAGAGAAAGGUGUCAUUUUUCCAGGGUUCCCGUUGUGACGAGGCAGGCCUAUAGUUUAGGACUCUGUCUUCCACGUAAGUCUUUUUCUGCCUCAGAAAAUUGAUACUUCAGUGAUGUCACCAACCUUAUACCAGCUAAAUGUGUUUGUUGUGAGGCCUUUGGGAGCAGUUUCAGUUCGUGUGAUCCCAAUAAGGACGUUCUCCAGCUGAUCAGUCACAGACAACAAGGUGCUCUCAGAAACGAAGCGGGAAAGGAGAGCAAGAGUGCUUACAAUGGGCCAACCAUAUCAUCAUCUUUAGUUACUCUUUGUGCACUUUGUCCCUUUGGGCUGCAUAUUCCCCACUAAAGAUGAUACUUAGAUAUUGAAAACUAUGGUCUUCAGACUCACACAGAUGGCCCCCACACCUUGCUUUCAGAGAUGGGACAAGUCUAGGCACAGGCCUUGUCUCCGGAGCCUUGGUAUUUCAUUUGUAGGUGCUGAAAUGUCUUAUUAGAAGACAGGACAUGUUUUCGUUUAAAUAAUUUGGCAUUUUUCUUUUAAUCUAUCAUACCAACAUCCCGAUGCUAUAAUAUAAGUCUGCUCAUUCUACUUAUAUUUUGUACAAGAGCAACUGAGUAUCAGAGGGUUUAAGUCAGACAUUCUUAUGCAUUUGCUCAUGCAUUCAUUCAGCAGGUAUUUGUUCAGUGCAUACCAUGCAUAGGUUUUAAUCCACUAGGGAAUCGAACUUGGGAUGUAGAACUUGAAUUCAUGUCACCCAAACCCUAGGUUAACAUUAUUUAUUUUUUUCCCUUUAAUUUAUUAUUUUUGUAAUGAGUUUUAUUUUUUCCAUGAUAGCUGGUUUACAGUGUUCUGUCAAUUUUCUUCUGUACAGCAGGGUGAGCCAGUUACACAUGCAUGUAUACAUUCUUUGUUUCUCACAUUAUCGUGCUCCAUCAUAAGUGACUAGUUAUAGUUCCCAGUGCUAUACAGCAGGAUCUCAUUGCUUAUCCAUUUCAAAGGCAGUCUGUGUGUAGCUCUGAUCAAUACUCUAGAUUUAUGGUUUAAAUAUUAAACUAUGAAUAAUGUAUAAUGAGAAUUUGUUGCUAUGUGCCAGAAAGUCUACUAAGUGCUUUAUAUGCCUUAUCUGAUUUAGUCCCAUCAUAACCCAGUGAGGUCAGACCCCGUUCCUAUCCUCUUUUUUAUGGAUGAGGUCAGCGAGGCUUAGAGAGGCAAGGUAGCACAUAGCUUGGCAAUGGCAGAGACAGAUUUUCAUCUGGGUCUAUCAGACUCCAAAGACUGACAACUUCACCUCAUGAUAUAAGCUCUUCUCUCUGUUUUCUGGAUCUCAGCUCUAUCGUCUCCUCUACUCUUAGCAAAAUGUGUCCAGGAUGCUUCCAGCCUGACAUCCUUCUGGAAAGUCGCUAGCUCUUUUGAGUGGCAAGUUCCAUUAGACAUGCAGAUAGAGGAAAGCAGAUUUGGGGGUGGGGUAUCACAGACUGUACCUUAUAGUAAAAGCCCCAUCUAACGAAGUUGUAGAGACCGUACCCUGUGAAACCAAAGUGUUAAGAUCGCUUCCAUGUCAGAGGUUGUAGCUGCUGGCUGUGCUGUUUACAGGUGACCAGGGCAAACUUCAUGAGAAAUAAAAUAAUGUGUGAAUCGUGUGUGUGUGUGUGUGUGUGUACAUGCAUGUAUCUGCCAUUUUCAACUUUGACUUUUUAAACUAUCUCAGUUUUUGUUCGUGACAGGUCAGGAAUUCAAAUAUGAUUGACUGCCCCUAGCAUCUCAUCAUUAUUGUUCUAAGUUGGAAAAAAGAGAAGCAGCUAGAGAAAAGAAACUGGACUGGAUAUGUGAGUGUGUGUGUGUGUGUGUGUGUGAGGAGUGUGUAUAUUCAUGUGCUGUAUAUAUGUGUUUAUGUGUAAAUAAUGUGUAUAUAUGUAUAUAUGUGUGUACAUCUAUCUAAAUCUAUAUAUCUAUAUCUAUACAUUUGUAUGCACACAUAAACAAAUCUUAGUUUGAAACUGGGAUUUUGAGUUCGAGGGACUUCUUAUAAUUUAUUUUUGAUUUCCUAGAUAGUGUUCUAUAGUUCUAAUUUCCGAAAUUCUCUUCUCUCUGAGUAUGUGUAUAUAUCUAUGGUACAGAGAAUAUGAUUAGAAUACCUAGGUUUAACGUACAUGGAUGCAAAACCAAACAAAAGUGCAUUUAAGGAAAAGCCAAACUUGGAUAAACCUGGCUUUCUUAUUUGAACCAUUUGUUGGAGUUUCAAACUAUGUGUUUUCAAACUUGUUCAUUAAUGAACCACACACAACCCACCAAAUUAAUGUGAUGAUGUUCAGGAUGAAAAGAAUAAGAAAGUAUAGCUCUUUAAUAGCACAAAUCCAGUGGUUUUCAAGCCAGUGGUAUUUCACCUACCUAUUGGUUAAUUUACUAUCUUCUUAUUGAUUUCACUUCAUCAUUCAUGGUGGUCCCUGUGGCCUUACAUAUUUGUAGGUGGAGCUAAUUAUCUGUUUAAAUACUUUAAUGCUAUGGUAAAUAAUUUAUAUUAUGCAUAUUGUAAAUAUAUACUAAAGCUCAAGGGCACAUUGUAAUAAUAACCAAACAUUUUCUAGACUUCUGCAAGUACCACUAUAAGCCUGUUUAUACAGAUAACCAAAAUAGUUGCUCCAAGAAUGAACACCAUAAAUUUAAAUGAAAGCGAAGGUUACGUAUCUUUUUUGGCAUCCUAUACACAUAUGACCAAAUGACUGAAACAUGGGCACUCUUAAGGAUAUAGACAAUUAUGUUUUCAUCCAUAGCCAUGUGCUUUGCAUAUGUUGGAGAAUAUGAAAACUGUUUUAUGUCCACCUAUGCAAACAGAGCUUCCCUGGUGCUCCUUGGGAUCCAGUUGUACGCACGCAAGCCCAUACCUUCAGAAAAAGCUUGGCUCCCAGCCCAGGGCUCAGCUGAUCCUCCAAGCACAGACUCCUCCUUCCAAGGACCUGUGAGGUUUGCUCAGAGAGUCAGACACAUUUGCAAACCUACUGAGGACGGUCAUUCAUUCUUUUCCCCCCAAAGGCUCCCUGCAGAUGUGUAAGAGAGAAAAUCAAUCCUAUGGCCAUUCAAUGCUCUAAAUGUAAAGCUGCUUGAAGAAGGAGUGGUUGUUUUUCCCCAAAAUUUUAGAGCAGAGGAGCAGGUUUAACAUCGGCCUUGGCUGCAAGUUUUCCUAUCAUUUCCUUUCAUUUAUGUAUUUUUAUUUCAAAGGAGACUAUUAAAUCAAGUACAUUUUGCUUAAAAUAUUCUGCUUAGUUUAGAAAAGGACAGAAUAAUAUUUUUUCUUGUCCAUUAUGAGGGGUGGAGAAGUGGGGGUGCCAAAACUCCUCAGUACCCUGUUUCUGAUAUAAGGAGAUAGAUUCAUGAAUUACUGGAGUUGUGUCAUACUUAAAACACACAGAGACAGAAACUUAGGGGAGCUGCAUUGCAGAGUCCUAUGGAAAGCUGUUAAUGGGAUCUUCCAUUAGGGGGUCACCACUUAGAUGAGAGAGGGCAACUAGCUUGUUUCUCUGAUAGUAUCCUAAUCUGUAAAAUCAAAUCUGUGUUGACUGGAGGAAUUGAACUAAUGAUCUUGGUUGAAUCUCUAUUCCCCACAUCUUUCAGAACCAGCAAAGCACUGGAUAGAACCUAACAAACAAAACGAUUGAUCCAAAUAAAAUCGACAUGCUGAAACAGUAUCAGCACUACUCUCAAAGCUCGUAAAGACCCAGUCGAUUAGGACACCUGGGGACUCCUAGUGCAGCUUGCCAGGGAUUAUCAAGCUCCUCUUACAUCCAGAUUGGAUGCUUUGAAUGUGGUGUCACCAUAGAGAGAGGAGUCUGAAUUUUGCAGGUACCAACCCUGAGUGGUGAUCUACUGGGGCCUUGCUCAUGUUCCUUUUUCCUGACCUCAUUCAAGUGCUUAAUGACUUGGGUCAGUUUGUUGCACAAUGAUGUAUACCAAGUGACACCCACUGAAAUUACCUCUUCUCCUUUCCCUUGUACAUAAGUGUAAUGUCAAAUUGUUUACAGGUUCUUUUUGUGUGUAAUUGUGAUAGCAGAUUUAGCUCCAACUUUACAGGAAUCUGUUUACUGGAUGGUGUUAAAACGAAUGUGCUUAUUACAGUAUAAACAUCAUUAAUUAUGGACUCACAUGAAUGCAUGUCUACAUGUCGUCAAUUCCCAGCAGCUCGGUUAUCCAGCAAGAAGUCUGCAGUCUGUGAAUAGCAAAUAUGCAUAAACUACUAUACUCUAAUAACUCAGUAACUGUUUUUACCUUGAUAUGUAACACUGUAGAUUUUAGCCUGCUGUAUUUCUUUCUUACUUAAUUUGUUUUUUUGCGAGAGAAACAUGAUAAAAGAUAGUACUACUAAUUGUCCCAAUGGAAUUGCACACCGUGUUGGCAAUCAUUGGUCCACCCUAAAGGCACCUGCCUGUAGGUGGGACAAUGGCCCUGAGCAACAUAUAAAUAUAUACAUACAUAUCUAUGUAUGCGAUAUCUAUGAUGCUAAUUACUAUCAUCUAUUCUCACUGCCAAUGGAAACAAACUAUUUUCUUUGGAAUCAUUGAUGGAUAUAAAAAGUUAAUUUGCUAUUAACUGCUUUCAUAUUCUGUUUAGUUCUUAGAGUGUGGUAAAUGAUACAGGUGCAGUAUCAGUAUUGUAAAAUUGUGUGGUGAAAACUACAAAAGUCAUUCUGUGGAUAUAUUUUAAAAAGGCAGAUCAGAAACUAUAUUUCAGAUUCUUGUGUGAAUAUAAUUACAGAAAUAGGUAACUAUUUUUUAUGUGUUCCAUAAAUGACUCCAUUUCAUAUACAUUGUAAUUUAGCACCAAUCAUAAUAAAUCAUUUGGU